CUGUCUGCCAUCCGUCAUGAAAGAUGACACAUGACAGCCGCGCUACACAAUCAAAAUUAACAAACACCUUACAACAAACAAUAAUGCCGGCAAACAGCAAAAGCGAUGUAAAAAUAUUAGAAGAGUGAACAAAGUGAUUGUGGAAUAUAUUUGCAGUAUAAAGGAGGUUCCCGCCAGACUCUUCUGUACUCCGCUUAGCAGCCGAAGUGGACGAGCUUUGCGUGCUCGGGUACUUGGUCAGCAGAGGACUCAGCUCGCCCAUCGUAGUCACUCUGCAUUUACGCCCAUCAGAAGUCUUGAUGUAGAUAACGCCAUCCUGAGUCCAGCAAGCCCGCAUACCGAAAUGCUGCCGCGCCUGCACGAAGAUAUUCUGCCUUUCCUUUGUUAAGAACUCUCUGAUGGUGAUCUUAGUCCCUUUUAAAUUGGAUUUGGCCCGCCAUACCGUCGCUUUAAUAUGCACAUCCGCAAACCUGACGAGAAGAGGCCUGUGAUGGUCAGAACUAGCCUGUCCCAGCCUGUGAGACACCUUUAUGGAAGAUGUGGUAUGCCCUGGAUAAUCAAAGCUUUUCGACGGCUCUUUGUGGCGAGCCAAUCGAUUUGCCUGGAGCAGUCGGUUAUCUGAUAUUAGUUGGUGUAGUUACAAAAUGUAACUUAUAAAUAUGUGGUUUUAAGUUCAAAAUGAGUGUGAUGCUUUGUAAGAUCAAAAAUAGAAUAUGCAGAACAUACAACGUAAGCUUUCCUAUAGAUAUUAAUCAGGUAAUUAGGCGUGAUGGUAUUUUAAUAAUUUUUGUUGUAAUUAAAAAUGUAAUACAUAAUUAAUAAUCUACA